AUCUUUGCGCAGUGGCAGUAUCGUAGCCUAUGAGGUUUAUCCGAGGCGCGAUUAUUGCUAGUUGAAAACUUUACCCAAUACCCCGCCUAGACGACUUGAAAUAUAGUCGGCGACGGCAAUUUUUGACGGUCUCUAAGGAGA
ensembl:snRNA U4 U4 spliceosomal RNA